rnacentral:tRNA from 1 species
GCCCGGAUGGUGAAAUUGGUAGACACAAGGGACUUAAAAUCCCUCGGCCUUAAACAGCCGUGCCAGUUCGAGUCUGGCUCCGGGCACCA